UCGGCAGAUGGACUAGGAGAAAGAAAGGACGCAGGAGGCGCGCCGAGGGAGGAAACCCUCGUGAACGGCAGCGGCGGCGGCGGCGGCGAUGCCGCUGGAGAGGAAGAGGAUGGCCGGGCUGUGGGAGCGCGAGGUCGGCGGCCUCCCUCCCAGGAGCUUCGCCAACGCCGUCAUGGCCUCCAAGGACUUCGUGCAAUCUCUCAGGAUACAGAAGAGGCUACGGAAGCACAGGGGCUGCGUCAACACUAUAAGCUUCAACGCGGACGGGAGAUUGCUCCUCUCCGGGGCGGACGAUCGGACCGUCGUGCUGUGGAACUGGGUGGAGGCGGUGCCAACCUUAUCGUUCCACACUGGGCACUGUAACAACGUGCUCCACGCGCAGUUCAUGCCCUUCUCGGAUGACCGGAGCGUUGUCACGUGUGCUGCCGAUGGUGAGGUGAGGCAUUCACAGAUACGGGAAGGUGGGCGUGCAACUACAGACAAACUUGUUGAGUUGGAGUUUGCGAUACACAGGUUGGCUGUUGAGCCAGGAAGUCCUUACACAUUCUACUGCUGCGGUGAAGAUAGCUCCGUGUGGCUUUUUGACCUCAGGGGGAAAAAUGCCAUGGAACUCUUUAGAUGUAGGGCUGCAUACCAUGCCCCUGCUGAUGCCACUGAACUCUUUGCUAUUGCCAUAGACCCAAGGAAGCCCUGUUGUUUUGCAGUGGCUGGAUCAGAUGAGUAUGUAAGGAUAUAUGAUACCCGCAAGCUUCGUAUGGAUGGCAAUUCUAUUUUUGGUGACCCAACGGAGCACUUCUGCCCUCCACAUUUGAUUGGUGAAAACAAAGAUGGAAUAACUGGUUUGGCUUACUCACAGACCAGUGAGCUGUUAGCAUCCUAUAGUCAUGACAAUAUCUACCUUUUCUCAAGAGAGCAUGGUUUACACUUCAACAACAUUGAGGUAAAUGAACAACUCCUGAUGGAUGGGACCAAACCCUUAUCUUGUAGGGAUGAGUUGCCUAUACCUAAGACAUUCAAGGGACACCAGAACCAACACACCAUUAAGGGGGUUAACUUCCUUGGGCCCAACUGUGAUUAUGUUACCUCCGGGUCAGACUGUGGCCGUAUAUUUAUUUGGAGAAAGAAGGAUGGGGAGCUGAUCAGAGUGAUGACUGGAGAUAAAAACAUUGUAAACUGUGUCGAACAGCACCCUUCAGGGAUUGUUGUUGCAAGCAGUGGCAUUGAUAACGAUAUUAAGAUUUGGGAACCUGGUGAAGGUGAAAACCCCUCCAUCGCUCCUGUUGACAAGGUUGAGGAAGAUAUGUGGCUCUCCAGCAGCAGUGAUUCUGAUGGCUUUUUUUACAACGACGAUUUGGAAUAUGCAAUGGACUUAGAUGGUAUCUAUGUAUAUGGAAAUGGUGAUGAACAUUCAUCUGAGGAAGAUGAAGAUACAUCAUCAGAGGAAGAUGAUGGUGGUGAUAAUAGUGCCAAAGAAGACGACGAUGGUGACAAUAGUGGCUCAGGAGAAGAAGGUGCUGACGGUGAAAACAGUGCCGAAGAUGUAAGCGAUGGUUGACAAUGAUAUAACAGGCGAGGAAGAUUUUGUUCAGCUAUUAGUUCAAGAGCAGCUGCUGCUAGUUUCAUGUGUAAGGUGAUCUCGGGAGGAGCCAGGCUUCCAACGGCAUAGUUAGGAUUCUCAAUCUCUGCGUGAUGCCUGCUAGGUUAUUGUUUGGUGCUUCCUUUUCACUCUUCAGUGUUUCACCUGUAUAUAUUUUCUUCAGAAUUGAGGUAGUCUAGUCUAGCAACGUGAUGUAAAUGUCUCGUGAAAGAGAUUGUCUGGUGGGAGACUAGUAUAAGAGCAGCUUUGGGCAUCAUGAUAUUGGAUAUAGCAUUAAGUUUUCAUCCACUCAUAUGAGAGUUCAUGAAGAAGUGUUUGUUCUUGA